rnacentral:rRNA from 1 species
UAUGUGAUCGUCUCUCGCAUAUCAAUAAGCGGAGGAAAAGAAACUAACAAGGAUUCCCCUAGUAACGGCGAGUGAAGCGGGAAGAGCUCAAAUUUGAAAUCUUAAAGGGUUUCCCUUUACGAAUUGUAGUUUAAAGAAGUGUUUUCUGUUGAGGUUUUGGUAAAAGUUCUUUGGAAUAGGACAUCAUAGAGGGUGAGAAUCCCGUAUUUGACCUUUACUUUCAACUUUGUGAUACACUUUCAAAGAGUCGGAUUGUUUGGGAAUGCAGUCCAAAAUGGGUGGUAAAUUUCAUCUAAAGCUAAAUAUUGGCGAGAGACCGAUAGCGAACAAGUACCGUGAGGGAAAGAUGAAAAGAACUUUGAAAAGAGAGUUAAACAGUACGUGAAAUUGUCAAAAGGGAAGCGUUUGACACCAGUGUUGUUUUUCUGAAAAUCAAUUAAAGAACUGUUUAUGCUAAGCUGUUUAGACUUUAUCAGCUAUACUGUUUAGUUUUGAGCUUUUCUUUAAUGCACUUUUCAGUUAACAAGUCAACAUCAAUUUCUUUUGCUGUAAAAAAGCUUGAGGAAGGUGGCUUGAGAUUCGUCUUAAGUGUUUAUAGCCUCUUGCCUAUGCAGUCGGAGAGAUUGAGGUCUGCAGCGUAGAUCCUUCGGGGCUAAAUGCAUUUGUGCUAAGUUAUAAGCAUUUUAUAGACAACUUGUUGACUAUGAUUUGUCUUGUAGCUUACUCGCUUAUGUUAUUUUACCUACGCUUAGGAUGUUGAGUAGCGACAUACGCA